CACAGGCCCCCCUUUCAUCCCCUACCUAUUAGGGAAGAUCUGUUCGGCAGAGUAGCUGUCGACAUUAUAGUUGCGCAGGCACUUUGGUGACUCUAGAGAACCUCGGGCAAAUCGCAAGUCCCCGCGACGGCGACUUUGCAUUCGGAUAUCUGCCCUAUCAACUUUCGAUGCCACUUUUUGUGCCUACCAUGGUGACCACGGGUAACGGGGAAUCAGGGUUCAAUUCCGGAGAGGGAGUCUGAGAAACGGCUACCACAUCCAAGGAAGGCAGCAGGCGCGCAAAUUACCCACUCCCGACGCGGGGUGGUAGUGAUG